GACGAACGCUGGCGGCGUGCUUAACACAUGCAAGUCGAACGGAAAGGCCCUGCUUUUGUGGGGUGCUCGAGUGGCGAACGGGUGAGUAACACGUGAGUAACCUGCCCUUGACUUUGGGAUAACUUCAGGAAACUGGGGCUAAUACCGGAUAGGAGCUCCUGCUGCAUGGUGGGGGUUGGAAAGUUUCGGCGGUUGGGGAUGGACUCGCGGGUUAUCCGCUUGUUGGUGGGGUAGUGGCUUACCAAGGCUUUGACGGGUAGCCGGCCUGAGAGGGUGACCGGCCACAUGGGGACUGAGAUACGGCCCAGACGCGUACGGGAGGCAGCAGUGGGGAAUAUUGCACAAUGGGCGGAAGCCUGAUGCAGAAACGCCGCGUGCGGGAUGACGGCCUUCGGGUUGUAAACCGCUUUCGCCUGUGACGAAGCGUGAGUGACGGUAAUGGGUAAAGAAGCACCGGCUAACUACGUG
rnacentral:rRNA from 1 species